GCCUCCUUAGUUCAAUGGAUAGAAUAAACCCCUCCUAAGGGUUAGAUGUGGGUUCGAUUCCCGCAGGGGGUGCCA
rnacentral:tRNA from 1 species